rnacentral:rRNA from 1 species
AGUGAACGCUGGCGGUAGGCCUAACACAUGCAAGUCGAACGGCAGCACAGUAAGAGCUUGCUCCUACGGGUGGCGGGUGGCGGACGGGUGAGGCAUGCAUCGGAAUCUACUUUUUCGUGGGGGAUAACGUAGGGAAACUUACGCUAAUACCGCAUAUGACCUACGGGUGAAAGCAGGGGAUCAUCGGACCUUGCCCGAUUGUAUGAGCCGAUGUCGGAUUAGCUAGUUGGGGGGGUAAAGGCCCACCAAGGCGACGAUCCGUAGCGGACCUGAGAGGAUGAUCAGCCACACUGGAACUGAGACACGGUCCAGACUCCUACGGGAGGCAGCAGUGGGGAAUAUUGGGCAAUGGGCGCAAGCCUGAUCCAGCCAUACCGCGUGAGUGAAGAAGGCCUUCGGGUUGUAAAGCCCUUUUGUUGGGAAAGAAAAGCAGCAGAUUAAUACCCCGCUGUUCUGACGGUACCCAAAGAAUAAGCACCGGCUAACUUCGUG